rnacentral:rRNA from 1 species
UACGUAGGUGGCGAGCGUUAUCCGGAAUGAUUGGGCGUAAAGGGUGCGCAGGCGGCUUAGUAAGUCAGAAGUGAAAGCCCGCAGCUCAACUGCGGGACUGCUUUUGAAACUGCCAGGCUAGAGUGUCGGAGAGGUAAGUGGAAUUCCUAGUGUAGCGGUGAAAUGCGUAGAUAUUAGGAAGAACACCAGUGGCGAAGGCAGCAUACCGGCGCCCGACUGACGCUGAAGCACGAAAGCGUGGGUAUCGAACAGG